AAGUCGUAACAAGGUUUCCGUAGGUGAACCUGCGGAAGGAUCAUUACCGAGAUAGGGUCGCCGGCCUAAACCCCCGGCGCCGACCUCCAACCCAAUGUCUACAAUACCUCCGUUUCCUCGGCGGACCGUCCGGUUCCCUGGCAACAGGCCCGGCCGUCGGCCCCCGCGAGGGGGCCCUCGAGCGCCCGUCGAAGGACCCCAACAAACCAUUUUGAAAACCAGCCUUCUGAGUGAAAUUAUAAUACUUCAAAA
rnacentral:misc_RNA from 1 species